UACCCGGAGCCUUUGCACGGUUUGUCAGGGAACCAGUGGUGUUGAUAGUGCUCUGUGGGAAGCAAGGAAAUUGAAAAGAAAAAAAAAAAGCACCGUGUCAGAUGAAUCCAUAAAAGAAAUAAGAGCGAGAGAUGGAGGAGUGGGGAUGGUGGUGAAAGUAGGGUUCCCAAAAGUUUGAGCUCACAAUUCGUUGAAGCGCUCUCGGUAACAAAAAAACACAAAUGACAGACGGGGAGGCAAUGAUGUAAGAUCGACAAAAGGAGUUUACACCCGAGGGAUGAAGCAGCCGCGUGCGCUCGCGCAGCGGGACAAUGGAGCGGGGACGGUUGGAAAGCGGCGCGAGCUCCCGGGCCAACGUUCCAUUUUCUUUUCCCUCUCGAGGGGAGGGGAAUGAGGGGGGCGGGUGGUGCCGUCGCCACUUACCCGCCAGCAGGUCCUGUAGAGACUGACAGAAAGUCUGUAACUGCCGCUCGUCCACUGUCGCCUUUGUCCGAAGGAGCUUGCAAAUAAAUCCCACCGCCGCGCUGAUUUCUGGCUUCAUCUCGGCCCAGGUACCCAAAACGUACAUUGGAGGAAAUUUUUCCCCUCUCGGAAGUUUUUUUUCUAAUAAAUUUGCUCGACAAAAGAAAA